GACGAACGCUGGCGGCGUGCUUAACACAUGCAAGUCGAACGGAAAGGCCCUGCUUUUGUGGGGUGCUCGAGUGGCGAACGGGUGAGUAACGCGUGAGUAACCUGCCCUUGACUUUGGGAUAACUUCAGGAAACUGGGGCUAAUACCAGAUAGGAGCUCCUGCUGCAUGGUGGGGGUUGGAAAGUUUCGGCGGUUGGGGAUGGACUCGCGGCUUAUCAGCUUGUUGGUGGGGUAGUGGCUUACCAAGGCUUUGACGGGUAGCCGGCCUGAGAGGGUGACCGGCCACAUUGGGACUGAGAUACGGCCCAGACUCCUACGGGAGGCAGCAGUGGGGAAUAUUGCACAAUGGGCGGAAGCCUGAUGCAGCAACGCCGCGUGCGGGAUGACGGCCUUCGGGUUGUAAACCGCUUUCGCCUGUGACGAAGCGUGAGUGGCGGUAAUGGGUAAAGAAGCACCGGCUAACUACGUG
rnacentral:rRNA from 1 species